UACGUAGGGGGCAAGCGUUGUCCGGAAUCAUUGGGCGUAAAGAGCGUGUAGGCGGCCCGGUAAGUCCGCUGUGAAAGUCCAGGGCUCAACCCUGGGAUGCCGGUGGAUACUGUCGGGCUCGAGUCCGGAAGAGGAGUGUGGAAUUCCUGGUGUAGCGGUGAAAUGCGCAGAUAUCAGGAGGAACACCAAUGGCGAAGGCAGCACUCUGGGACGUGACUGACGCUGAGACGCGAAAGCGUGGGGAGUAAACAGG
rnacentral:rRNA from 1 species